rnacentral:rRNA from 1 species
ACAGAGGGGGCAAGCGUUAUUCGGAAUUAUUGGGCGUAAAGGGUGCGCAGGCGGUGUUUUAAGUGAGAUGUGCAAUCCCCGGGCUUAACCUGGGAACUGCAUCUCAGACUGGAACGCUAGAGUACUGGAGAGGGUGGUAGAAUUCCACGUGUAGCGGUGAAAUGCGUAGAGAUGUGGAGGAAUACCAGUGGCGAAGGCGGCCACCUGGACAGUAACUGACGCUGAGGCACGAAAGCAUGGGUAGCAAACAG